GCAGCCACUAGAUGGUGUCUGUUAUGUUUUUGCAUGAUACGAGCCUCAUUGCUUGCCCUUUGAACCUGCUAGGAUGCCAUUUUGUUUGUCCUUGCACUCAAAGAACACAUGUUGGAAAACAUGCAUCUUCUUUUUGGGUCACUUGUAGCAGUGUUGUCUGGACCCCCAAGAUCAUGCUAAGACAGCAGAGGGAUGACCACAAAACCCGAGCAGAUCACUGGAGAAUGAGGUGUCCGGGCUUUCUUCUGAAGACACUCAUGAGAACACAACCACACCCCAGUCUGCAUACAUUACCCCGAAUCAAUCAAUCGAGCGAGAUGGAGCUGCUGGA